rnacentral:rRNA from 1 species
UACGUAGGGGGGCUAGCGUUGUCCGGAUUUAUUGGGCGUAAAGAGCGUGUAGGCGGCCAGGUAGGUCUGCUGUGAAAACUCGAGGCUCAACCUCGAGACGUCGGCGGAAACCAUCUGGCUAGAGUCCGGAAGAGGAGAGUGGAAUUCCUGGUGUAGCGGUGAAAUGCGCAGGUAUCAGGAAGAACACCCGUGGCGAAGGCGGCUCUCUGGGACGGGUACUGGACGCUGAGACGCGAAAGCGUGGGGAGCGAACAGG